rnacentral:rRNA from 1 species
GAAGUAGCAAUACUUAGUGGCAGACGGGUGAGUAACAUGUAGGCAUCUGCCCUUUGGCCUGGAAUAACACGAGGAAACUUGUGCUAAUACCGGAUAAGUCUUUACGGAGAAAGCUUUAUGCACCAUUGGAUGAGCCUGCACUAGAUUAGCUUGUUGGUGGGGUAAUGGCCUACCAAGACUGUGAUCUAUAGCUGAUUUGAGAGGAUGAUCAGCCACAUUGGGACUGAGACACGGCCCAAACUCCUACGGGAGGCAGCAGUGGGGAAUCUUGCACAAUGGAGGAAACUCUGAUGCAGCGAUGCCGCGUGAGUGAAGAAGGCCUUUGGGUUGUAAAGCUCUUUCGUCGGGGAAGAAAAUGACUGUACCCGAAUAAGAAGGUCCGGCUAACUUCGUGCCAGCCGCCGCGGUAAUUC